rnacentral:rRNA from 1 species
GACGAACGCUGGCGGCGUGCUUAACACAUGCAAGUCGAACGGAAAGGCCCUGCCUUUGUGGGGUGCUCGAGUGGCGAACGGGUGAGUAACACGUGAGUAACCUGCCCUUGACUUUGGGAUAACUUCAGGAAACUGGGUCUAAUACCGGCUAGGAGCUCCUGCUGCAUGGUGGGGGUUGGAAAGUUUCGGCGGUUGGGGAUGGACUCGCGUCUUAUCAGCUUGUUGGUGGGGUAGUGGAAUACCAAGGCAUUGACGGGUAGCCGGGCUGGGAGGGGAACCGGACCAGUUAGGAUGGGAAUGCGACACAGACUAGAACGGGAGGCAAGGGAGGAGAAGAUUACACAGGGGGCGGGAGGCAAGUGCGACAAAGCAGUGUGGGGGGAGAGAGGAAGGGGGUAGUAAAGCAAUGUCGCCUGUGACGAGACGUGAGUGACGGUAAUGGGUAAAGAAGCACCGGCUAACUACGUG